GAUGAACGCUAGCGGCAGGCCUAACACAUGCAAGUCGAGGGAGGAGCUUUCGGGCUUCGACCGGCGUACGGGUGCGUAACGCGUAUACAAUCUGCCUUUCACAUAGGGAUAGCCCGAAGAAAUUUGGAUUAAUACCUAAUGGUAUAUAGGAGUGGCAUCACAUUUAUAUUAAAGCUGAGGCGGUGAAAGAUGAGUAUGCGUUCUAUUAGCUAGUUGGAGAGGUAACGGCUCCCCAAGGCGACGAUAGAUAGGGGUUCUGAGAGGGAUAUCCCCCACACUGGUACUGAGAUACGGACCAGACUCCUACGGGAGGCAGCAGUGAGGAAUAUUGGACAAUGGUCGGAAGACUGAUCCAGCCAUGCCGUGUGCAGGAAGACGGCCUUAUGGGUUGUAAACUGCUUUUGCAGGGGAAGAAUAAGGACUACGAGUAGUUUGAUGACGGUACUCUGCGAAUAAGCAUCGGCUAACUCCGUG
rnacentral:rRNA from 1 species